AUCUCUAAGAUCACACAAGGGAGAGGCUGACAGGCGUGGAGUUGAGAAUCCUGGCGCUCUAAAUCCAGAGUCAACAUCCCAAUGUCUACUGUGCCGUGGACAGGAGGUUCUCAGGGGAUGAGGCAGCCCUGCAGAGGGACUUGACUCGGGCAGGAGGAAGCGUUCUCACACAGAGGGACAGCAUCUGCAGCGACAGAGACAGGCUCGCUUUGUUGAGGGAGCAGCUGUUGGCCACUUGCUCACUGGCUUGGGCUAAUCCCUCUUUUGAGUGGGAGCUGGAAGCCGGGAUUCUAAAAUAAAGGAAACCGGAGAAGCAUCACAGCAUGUUCAGUGCCCGCUGACUGGGUCAUUAGCUGCUCGAGGUGAGCCCAGUGUGCUGAUUUUGGUACACUCCCUGCUCACCUCAUCCAAAGUCCUCGGACCGUUCCCCUCCCCCCACGCCCCACCCC
rnacentral:lncRNA from 1 species